rnacentral:rRNA from 1 species
UGGGGAAUAUUGCACAAUGGGGGAAACCCUGAUGCAGCGACGCCGCGUGAGCGAAGAAGGUUUUCGAAUCGUAAAGCUCUUUCCUAUGAGAAGAUAAUGACGGUAUCAUAGGAGGAAGCCCCGGCUAAAUACGUGCCAGCAGCCGCGGUAAUACGUAUGGGGCGAGCGUUGUCCGGAAUUAUUGGGCGUAAAGGGUACGUAGGCGGUCUAUUAAGUCAGGUGUGAAAGCGUGAGGCUUAACCUCAUUAAGCACUUGAAACUGAUAGACUUGAGUGAAGGAGAGGAAGGUGGAAUUCCUAGUGUAGCGGUGAAAUGCGUAGAUAUUAGGAGGAAUACCGGUGGCGAAGGCGACUUUCUGGACUUUUACUGACGCUCAGGUACGAAAGCGUGGGGAGCAAACAGG